UUAAAAUACGUCCUUACGUUAGAGGAGCGACAAAAUGACCAUCACCGGACCGGCCGUUGCUUGCGGUCACAGAGAUGGGUCCGCGUUCAUGUCACGUGUAGCUUCUGUGUUUUUUGUCACUUCAGUAUUGAGUCCCAAAUGAUUUUAGUUGUUUUUCUGCCGAUUUUUUGUGCCUCGGACGUUGUUUGUGAAUCGCACGGCAGCUGGCGCCCAUUCAUACCACCGAAAAAUAUCAAGGAAGUUAAUGUCCCCAGCAACUUCGAAGAUGCUCUCAAAUCCUCCGCAUUCGUUGACAAAACCGGUUUCAUUCGUGAAUUUUUCGCGAGCAAAGAACCGCUCUACAUCUCUGCACCGCAUGGUUUCGGAAAAUCAACCACCAUUGACAUGCUCAGAAAAUUCUCGGAAGCAAAGGUGGACGUGAACGGGACUCUGAUCGACAGGAACUCUACACGCGACUACAACAUGUUCUUGGACAAGCGGCUCGAGGUGACGAGGGAUUCGAGCUUUUUCAGCAAACACUUCUGCCAGUACCCGGUGUUGGAGUUGCGUUUUAAGUACUUGAUGGCUUCUCAUUCCCUCGGGGAGUUCGAGCGCUUCUUUCGCGCAGUCGUUGUUGUUGCCUCCAAGGAGCACUCCUACCUCACCCGCUCCAGCAAACUUACCAAAGAGGAGCGGCAACGCUACAGUAUCAUCUACAACAACACCCUUAAAUCUGCGCCGGAGGUGAUGGCCAAGGAGAUGACAGCCCUCCUGCACGCUCACUUCAAGAAGAAGUGCAUCGUCCUUAUCGAUGACUUUGACUCGAGCCUUGUCCAAGUGUUGGCCAGUCACGAGCUCCCCAUCGGCGAUGCCCGGGCCAUCUUCGAAAUGCUCCAGAAAUUCUUGACAGUUGUGGUCAAAAAGAACAACCACCUCGAGAAAGCACUCAUCACUGGUUGCGUACACCUUGUCUCUGAAGCAGCCGAUGCCCAUCCGGGAGGCGUUGGCAUUCGCAAUGUGGUCUUUGGGCAGGACGAGAAAAUUGCCCGAUAUUUCGGCUAUACAGAUGACGAGGUAUUGUAUCUAUCUCGUAAAACGAAUAAAGACUAUCUCAUGGAUGUGAUACGAGCAUGGUACGGAGGAUACAUAGUCAUGAAUAGUAAAAUAAGGCUUUUCAACAUGAUUUCAAUCUCAACAUUUUUCAAGACAGGAAACAUGUCCAGCUUUUGGGCUGAUGGUCCCGAAGUAAAUUCUACCAAAUCCAUUAGUUUUAUUUUCGACUACAAAAUUAUUGGUGACGAAGUACGGAAAUCUUUGUCCCAAGACGUAAUUCGAAUUAAACUUGGAUCUCCUCUCUCGAGGGCGUUCUCAGUCGAGGCAAUAGUCGGUCUCGUGGAGGAAGCAUGGUUGUACAAAGAGACGAAUGGUGACCGCCUCAUGACGCAGAAGGGACUGUUGAUGAAGUAUUUGACUGACCACGGCUACUACUCCGCUUUCUAUGACUUGGACCCCGCUCAUGAUCAGGUCUUUUCGGCCUUCAUCCCCAACUACGAGAUCCGCGGUCUUCUCGAUAGUUUCAUCUACACGCCGCUCUUCUUCAAAAGCAAGUACAAUCUCACCGAAGUUGCCAUCGGGGCGUUUAUCCAAUCGCUCUUUAAUCUUACGCAGGCCGAAUCUGGGUACAAAGACUUAGCCAUGGCCAUGUCAAAGCUGAUCGCAAACGUUCCUACUGGUGAGGGCGCUGCAGAGUGGAUUCGGAUGUUGGCCAUCUUCGCGGACUACUCUGAAAAAUUCGAGUUCAUCGGUCGUGAGAUGCUGCCCGAUAAGGAGCAAGGCCAAAACCUCAUCAUCAUCACGAAAGAACCAGAGCUACCAAACGGAAAGGGCCCUCGCACGGGUAUCCUCAUAAGGGUCAUGACCGAUGAAGGGUCAGCGCAAGUCGCGCUUGCAGAUAUCCUCAGGCACGGUUAUCAGGGAAUAUUCGAAGAAAAGCUCAAAAUGCUGCCCAUUGGGAACAAGAUCCUCAUCGGGGUGCACCUUGCCUCAGAUCAACUGGUCUCAAUGAGGUACUUAAACGGUAGCACUAACAUCGAGCACGCCCGUAAUGCGACCAGCGAUCAGAAAUAACAGGUCCUUAGAAUUGAAUAUCAUGGGAAAAAAGACAGAUACUCUCCAGUGUGUGGGGUGUUUUUUGAGAGUAACAUGAGCAACACGGCCAAAGAUAGGAGAAACGUAAUGAGGCCUCGUUUUUAACUUUUCUGUCGAAUCUGAGCGACACCUCAUCGGCAGCAAAGAGCGGGCCAUUGCGAGUAUCACGCCUCGCACCAUCGCGCCUUCAAUUUUGCAGAUGCAACACGGACAUCCAUCAAGCACGAAUAGUUGUAUCUCUGCGUCGUCAUGAAUGCGCGUCUUUUUUGCUCUAUUUUCAUAUUGUGUUUGUCUCUGUUGGAAACAACACGCAUUGGAACACAUCACAAUCACCUGAACUCUGUCGUCAUCUUCUUAGUUUGAAUUGUGUCCAAAAGAAUUCUGCUCUCAAAUAUAGAAAUUUAUAGACAAAACGAUAGACAAGCAACACAAACUGAAAAUAAAGCGAUCGUAUUGGUGGAAGCAGAUGGUUGCAAUCAAAGGAGGUAAGUGGUAAGUAAUAGACUAACUGAAGACAACCCACGAAAGACCCUGUAGCUAAUAAUCUAUCAUUUUCCUUCUUAGUCUAUAACAACCACCCGUUUAACCAAUAGAAUCGUUAUGUUCCCUAUGUC